AAUAGCAAUAAUAAUAGUAUGAGAUGGCAGCUGAGACCUGUGCAGCUGAUGACAGUUUGAAAGAAGGAUGAGCAGGCUCUCUGCCAUCUGCCCACUGACUUUUCAAGUUACUUUUACCCACCUUCAAAAUUACAUCUGCUUUUAGCAAGAAUUACUGACGUGAUAAAGAUGGGAGUGUUCACCAUGCAAGGGCAGCUCUUGCUGCUGCUCACCCUUUGGGUCCUUGCCUUCUUUGAGAGCUGUAACACCAGGAAGAUCUGGGGCUCCAUUCUCAAAAUCAGCAAGACCACAAUCCCACUGGAAGGAACCAACUCCGGACCCACCACUCCCUCCUAUUAUAGGCCCACUGCAGGUGCCCUGCUGAGUCUAGUAGAGAAUCCGGCCUGAGCCCUGGCCAAGAGUGGGAGCCAGCCAGAACUGGGGGAGGGAAGGCAACUGCGAGGGGGAAUGGCCCGUGCAAAAAGAUCCCCAGGAGGGCACGGCAGGCAACUGAGGACCAAGUCCAGCUGUGCCUACCGAGAUCCACUGCGGAGACCAUGACGCAGCACACAGAGCACAUGGUCCCAGGCAAAACCGAGCGAAAUAGAGGACCCCCCGUGCAUACCCACCGGCGAGCUACACCUCACCCCGGAAGAGGGAGAGCUUGACGACCUUUUGCGGCGUGCCAGCUGCCCUCAGGGAAGGCCGGGUUGUGUCACCUGUCGGGCUCAGGCUCCAGUUCUGACUCAAAAACUCUGAUGCUCACGCCUGUAAUCCCAGCAGUUUGGGAGGCAGAGGCCCACGGAUCACGAGGUCAGGAGUUUGAGACGAACCUAGCCAACACGGUGAAACCCCGUCUCUACCAAAAAUACAAAAAUUAGCCAGGCGUGGGGGGCACCUGUAAUCCCAGUUACUCCGGGAGGCUGAGGCAGGAGAAUCGCUUGAAACCAGAAGGCGGAGGUUACAGUGAACCAAGAUCACGCCACUGCACUCCAGCCUGGGGGAAAGAGUGAGACUCCAUCUCAAAAAACAACAACAACAACAAAAAACUCUGAUGCUGUUUUCUCAUCUGUAGAAUGGGGUGACACUACGGCAGCCCCUGACACUGUGAACCCUCACAUCAGCAAGCACUUCUCAGUGGGUGUGUUACAGGAAAGUGGUCCCGAUCCAGACCCCAAGAGAUGGUUCUUGGAUUUUAGGCAAGAAAGAAUUCAGGGCGAGUCCACAGAAUAAAGUGAAAAUAAGUUUAUUAGGAAAGUAAAGGGGUAAAAGAACGGCUACUCCAUAGACAGAGCAGCCCCAAGGGCUGUGGGUUGCCCAUUUUUAUGGUUAGUUCUCGAUGAUAUGCUAAACAGGAGGUGGAUUAUUCGUGCUUCCUCUUUUCAGACCAUAUAGGGUAACUUCCUGAUGUUGCCAUGGCAUUUGUAAACUGUCAUGGUGCUGGUGGGAGUGUAGCAGUGAGGACCACCAGAGGACACAUCUUGUUGCCAUUUUGGGUUUUAGCCGGCUUCUUUACUGCAGCCUGUUUCAUCAGCAAGGUCUUUAUGACCUGUAUCUUGUGCCGACCUCAUAUCUCAUCCUGUGACUUAGAAUGCCUUAACCAUCUGGGAAUGAAGCCCAGUAGGUCUUAGCCGUAUUUUACCGGCCGCUAUUCGAAAUGGAGUUGCUCUGGUUCAAAUGCCUCGGACAGGUGCGGAGGGAGGGUAGUGAGUGGAGCCCACCCAGCACCAAGCCACACGCACCCACACUCCUUCUGAAUCGUAUUUUCUAGGCAUCUUACUAAUUUAAUCUGAAUCGUAUUUUCUAGGCAUCUUACUAAUUUAAUCCCCACAAGAACGAGCUGCAGAAGGUUGUUUCUCUCACAGAUUUCUGCAUAUUCUCUGUACUUGUAGAAUUUGGGGGAACAAGUCAAGUUACACAAGCUAAUCCCUGAAACGUGAGCCCCACAGCUCCUCAGCCCUCUCCCAGAGCCAGUGGCCUGCGUGCCAGGUCCCCGACAAAUGCUGGCUCCAUGGCAGCUGCGAUCACUUCCCUCGAGAGGUGCCAGUCUGCAGGGCAAUCUCGAGGUCCUCGUGCGGGUGACCAGCUGCGGCACGGCCAGCACGGCACAGGGAGGGAGGGGCUGUGCUGCCCCUCAGGUGUCUCGCGGGGGCCCUUGGCGGUCCCAGCAGAGGGUUUGCCUGUGAGAAGGUCUGGAAGUGCUGCUUCUUACAGGGCUGCCUUCAAUUAUUUCAGCUGCUCCGAGGUAUUUCAAAGUCAGACCAAAUAAACAUUUGUAUCUAAAAAAGGCGAAACAGGGUCAUUUGAAAUAGAGAAGAAAGCCUUUCCCAUAUCCGGAGGGUGUGGCCCGACAUUCCGGAGCAGCGGCAAGGGUUUUCUCUGGUUCUGUGCCUGUGCCAGGGCACCUACCCCAGCCCCUGCUUCAGGAGGGAAGUUAUUUUCUUUUAAAUCAAAUGUGUGGCGACCUAAGUUUCCUUUCCCUGAUUUGCUCCGUGGUCACCCUGGGCCCCCUGCUGCUGUCAGGUCAAUAUCUUUAAAGGGCUGUCUGUGCUUUUCCUAAGAAGGGGACCACAACAAACUCGACAGUAUCCACCGGUUGGGCCCAAGGCAGGAGGAAGGGCGGCGCCCCCAAACUCCCAGGCCGCCUGCAGCACCCCCCACGCGCCGCUCUCCGCCUCUGGGGAGCAUCCUGCCACCCCCCGACACACACACCCCGGCUACACCCCGCCUUCUCACACUUGGCCAGGCGCUCUGGAGAUGUCGCGGAGAUCCAGGCUUUUCCUAAAGAGUCGGGAUUGGAAGGCGGACUCCCACCGUUUGCUGAGCUCCACAUGACAACAGCAGACGACAGGCCGCACUGAUCCCACCUGGCUUACAGGUGCUGUCACACAGGACUGCUGACUAAACACUUUCAAGCACAGCGGACCCUUGAACAACGCAGGUUCAAACUGUGCAGGUCCACCCACAGGGAUGUUUUUCAAUCAGAGUUACACCAAGUGUCCCUGCCUCUCCUGCCUCCCUUCCCACUUCCUCCAUGUCUUCCUCUCUGCCACCCUGAGGCAGCAAGACCAGCCCCUCCUCCUCAGCCACUCAACAUGAAGACAACGAGGAUGAAGACUUUUAUGAUAAUCCACUUCCACUUAGUAAAUGCUUUCUCUUAA